UCGGGGGUUGUGUGGGUGGUGCGUGCGCGUGCGUGGGUGGGUGGGGUGGCCCUGGGAAAGGUGCUCCCGGAGGGAAGGCAUCCAAGCGGAUUCUACCCAGAGAAAUGAAAACUCCAUCCACGCGAAGACUAUGCGAAUGGCCACAGCAGCAGGAUUCACUAAAGCCCCAAACCGGAAGCAACACAGAUGUCCACGGACAGAAGAGUGGACAAACAAAAUGUGGUCCACGCAUGCGACGGACCGUGCUUCAGCCACAAAACGGAAUGAGGGCCUGAUGCAGCCUCCAGCGAGGAUGGGGCCUGAGAACACGCCCAAGGACCAGGAGACACGCGUGACAUCAGGAGUGUCCGGAGCUUAGGUCACUGGCUGCCAGGGCUGGGGAGGAGCUCGGGGAGAGGGGGGGACUGAUGGGUUUCGAGAGGACUUCUUGGGGUGAUGGAGGGAGCAUAAAGGUGGGUCAUUGCACAACCCUGACCUGCUGGAAAGCAAAUGCCAUCACAGCACACACUGAACGGCGAGUCUGGCGGUUUGUAAAUUACACUCCUGUAGAGCUGCACCCAUCUCA